UACGAAGGGGGCUAGCGUUGCUCGGAAUCACUGGGCGUAAAGCGCACGUAGGCGGCUUCUUAAGUCAGGGGUGAAAUCCUGGAGCUCAACUCCAGAACUGCCUUUGAUACUGAGAAGCUUGAGUCCGGGAGAGGUGAGUGGAACUGCGAGUGUAGAGGUGAAAUUCGUAGAUAUUAGCUAGAACACCAGUGGCGAAGGCGGCCAACUGGUCCGGUACUGACGCUGAGGUGCGAAAGCGUGGGGAGCAAACAGG
rnacentral:rRNA from 1 species